GUAGGUGAACCUGCGGAAGGAUCAUUACAGAGUUCAUGCCCGAAAGGGUAGACCUCCCACCCUUGUGUAUUAUUACUUUGUUGCUUUGGCGAGCUGCCUUCGGGCCUUGUAUGCUCGCCAGAGAAAACCAAAACUCUUUUUAUUAAUGUCGUCUGAAUUACUUGAUUAAAAUCAAAAAACAAAACUUUCAACAACGGAUCUCUUGGUUCUG
rnacentral:misc_RNA from 1 species